AUGUACCAUGACCUCAAGCAGUCGUAUUGGUGGACUCGAAUGAAGCAUGAGAUUGCUCAGUUCGUGAAUGAAUGUGAUGUCUGCAGAAGAGUGAAGGCAGAACACCAAAGACCACCUGGUCUCCUCCAACCUCUUGCCAUUCCAGAAUGGAAGUUUGACCACAUUGAGAUGGACUUCGUGACUGGAUUUCAAAAGUCCAAGCGUGGCAAUGAUGCUAUAUUCGUUAUCAUCGACAAACUCACUAAAGUGGCUCACUUUCUGCCUAUCAAAGAAUCCAUCACAGCAGCUCAAUUGGCAGAGCUAUAUACCUCUCGGAUUUUCUCUCUCCAUGGCAUUCCGCAGUUGAUAUCUUCAGAUCGUGGCAGCAUCUUCACCUCCAAGUUUUGGGAUUCUUUUCAGAAGGCCAUGGGCACCAACAUCCGUUUCAGCACAGCUUUUCAUCCCCAAACUAGCGGCCAAGUCGAGCGUGUCAAUCAGAUUCUUGAAGAUAUGCUCAGGGCUUGCGUCAUCUCUUUCAGUAUGAACUGGGAAGAUUGUCUUCCAUAUGCCGAGUUCUCCUACAACAAUAGCUUUCAAGUGAGUUCGACCAAGGCCCCAUUUGAAAUUCUCUAUGGCAGGAAGUGUCGUACUCCUCUUAACUGGCCAGAGACUGGUGAACGUCAACUUCUUGGCAAUGACUUAAUCACAGAGGCAGAAGAGAUGUGCAAAGUCCUUCGUGAUAACCUCAAAGCAGUGCAAUCGCGCCAGAAGAGCUACUAUGAUAGUAAGCAUCGUGAUUUGGCUUUCGAGAUCGGAGACCAUGUUUACCUUCGCGUCUCUCUUAGGAAAGGUACUCGUCACUUCGGUGUCAAAGGGAAGCUUUCCCCUAGAUACGUGGGUCCUUUCAAGAUCAUCAGCAAGAGAGGCGAUCUCGCCUAUCAACUUGAGCUUCCCUUCAAUUUUGCAAACAUGCACGACGUGUUUCAUGUCUCUCAAAUCCGCAAGUGCUUCAAGACCCCUGAC
rnacentral:rRNA from 1 species